rnacentral:rRNA from 1 species
GACGAACGCUGGCGGCGUGCUUAACACAUGCAAGUCGAGCGGUAAGGCCCUUUCGGGGGUACACGAGCGGCGAACGGGUGAGUAACACGUGGGUGACCUGCCCUCAGCUCUGGGAUAAGCCCUGGGAAACCGGGUCUAAUACCGGAUAUGACUCCAUGACGCAUGUUGUGGGGUGGAAAGCCUUGUGCGGCUGAGGAUGGGCCCGCGGCCUAUCAGCUUGUUGGUGGGGUGAUGGCCUACCAAGGCGACGACGGGUAGCCGGCCUGAGAGGGCGACCGGCCACACUGGGACUGAGACACGGCCCAGACUCCUACGGGAGGCAGCAGUGGGGAAUCUUGCGCAAUGGGCGAAAGCCUGACGCAGCGACGCCGCGUGAGGGAUGACGGCCUGGU